rnacentral:rRNA from 1 species
CAGUAGCCACGGUAAUGCGGAGGGUGCAAGCGUUAAUCGGAAUUACUGGGCGUAAAGCGUGCGUAGGCGGUUCGUUAAGUCUGUUGUGAAAGCCCCGGGCUCAACCUGGGAAUGGCAAUGGAUACUGGCGAGCUAGAGUGUGUCAGAGGAUGGUGGAAUUCCCGGUGUAGCGGUGAAAUGCGUAGAGAUCGGGAGGAACAUCAGUGGCGAAGGCGGCCAUCUGGGACAACACUGACGCUGAGGCACGAAAGCGUGGGGAGCAAACAGGAUUAGAUACCCGCGUAGUCCCUGUCUCUUAUAC